AAAUCAAUAUUUUUAUAUAUGUAUAUAUGUUACGAGGUGAUAUUUGUACAUGUAUAUUAAUG
rnacentral:ribozyme from 1 species